CACGGGGGAGCAAGCGUUGUUCGGAAUCACUGGGCGUAAAGGGCGUGUAGGCGGUCAAGUAAGUGGAAUGUGAAAGCCCCCGGCUUACCCGGGAUCUGCAUCCCAAACUGCUUGGCUUGAGUACGGGAGAGGAUAGGGAAUUCCUGGUGUAGCGGUGAAAUGCGUAGAUAUCAGGAGGAACACCGGUGGCGAAGGCGCCUAUCUGGCCCGAUACUGACGCUGAGGCGCGAAAGCUAGGGGAGCAAACGGG
rnacentral:rRNA from 1 species